UACGAAGGGGGCUAGCGUUGUUCGGAAUUACUGGGCGUAAAGCGCACGUAGGCGGAUAUUUAAGUCAGGGGUGAAAUCCCGGGGCUCAACUCCAGAACUGCCUUUGAUACUGAAGAUCUUGAGUCCGGGAGAGGUGAGUGGAACUGCGAGUGUAGAGGUGAAAUUCGUAGAUAUUCGCAAGAACACCAGUGGCGAAGGCGGCUCACUGGCACGGUACUGACGCUGAGGCACGAAAGCGUGGGGAGCAAACAGG
rnacentral:rRNA from 1 species